UACGUAGGCAGCGAGCGUUGUUCGGAGUUACUGGGCGUAAAGGGUGUGUAGGCGGUUGUUUAAGUCUGAUGUGAAAGCCCACGGCUCAACCGUGGAGGGUCAUUGGAAACUGGGGGACUUGAGUGCAGAAGGAGGAAAGCGGAAUUCCACGUGUAGCGGUGGAAUGCGCAGAUAUCAGGAGGAACACCGGUGGCGAAGGCGGGGUCUCUGGGCAGUAACUGACGCUGAGGAGCGAAAGCGUGGGGAGCGAACAGG
rnacentral:rRNA from 1 species